CUUCCUGCACCACUGCUUGAAGAAGGUGUCUUCCAGGAACUGGCAGUAGGACUGGGAGUUGAGCUUGACUCCAUCCUCAACCCGAAAAGGCCCCACAAGCUCAUCUUUGAUGAUACCAGCCCAAACCAGUACUCCACCUCCCCCUUGCUGGCGUCUGAGUCGGACUGGAGCUCUCUGCCCUUUACCAAUCCAGCCACGGGCCCAUCCAUCUGGCCCAUCAAGACUCACUCUCAUUUCAUCA